AUGAAUAUGCUUUCCCUACGGUCCAUAUGCCUUCCUUCUUCCACCAUCUCCAAUCCAUCAAUGAUUUUUCUUGACAAAUUCUUAAUACAGUAUCUUUCUUCACCUUGUAUCCAAUCAGUGUGCCAAAUGUGGCAAGUCACAACUUCGAAUAAACUUUCUUAGUCGACUCAGUAACCUACAAACUAGUAAUAGAUCGACAUUAAUAAUUAGUGGAGUACUAAUUUCUUCGUUUUUUAAAAUCUUCUUUAUUACUGUUCUAUAAAUACCAAGGAGGAUCCAUUUAUGUGGGGUGUGGGUGGGUAAAAUAGGAGAGAGAAAGGGGUUAAGAUAAAUAAACAAAUAAAAAGGGGUUAAAGUAGGAGAGAGAUAGAGAGUAAAUUGAAUUAAUAAUGUAAUGGUAGACCGUAUGAUAAAAACAUGAGAGGGUAAAAAGGGGGGAAAAAAUUCCAAAUAUGGAAUAAAGUAAAAGAGGGAAAAUCUUUUGGAAAGACACUUAACAGAAAGAUGGACGGAACAGAGUUAAUUAUUUUUAAAAUGUCUAUUUCUAAUAUCGAUGUUAAGAAAGUACAUACCUGAUCCAAGCCAUGUGAUUAGGCAUGAGCCUUUACAACUGAGAAACGACUUGACUUACGAAGAAAAACCGAUUGAAAUCCUUGACCGUAGAGAAAAGCAACUCAGAAACAAAGUAAUUCCCAUGGUAAAAGUUUUAUGGGCCAACCAUUCGUCGACAGAAGCAACUUGGGAAGCUGAAGAUCAAAUAAAAGCGAAAUACCCUUAUUUAUUUGCUUAAAUUAUUAUGUAUGUUUAUCAUGUCUGAUCUGCAUAUGUUAUUUAAGGUAUGAAUAUGUUCAAGCAUGAAAUAAUGAUUUUUGAUAUGAACUACAUGACCUUAUUUUAACUUACUAAGUUUCGAGGACGAAACUUUUUCUAAGGGGGUGAGGAUGUAAUAUCCCGUACCUAAGUAAUAUUAAUUGUCGGAUUAAUUAUAAAUUAAAUCUUUUCAAACUAACAAAAACAAGAAUUAUAGAUAUUAAAAUAUAUAAUAAGCUAUUUUAAGUUUCCUUUAUUUAAUCUAACUUGUGGACAAUAAAACAAGUAUAUACUUAAGUAAAAAUAAAAAUUACAAAAAUGCCCCUAUGAGUCUAACUCUAGCCCAUCUUCUUCCUUCCUCCAUUUUCUUUCUCUGGCAAUUUUUUUUGAAGUGUUCACACAUGAAAUCAAACACUUCAAUUCAAUACUACAACGCUCAUGUCAGAAAUCUUCUUCAUUAGUCAAUAAAGCUUGCCACAAUAUCUCACAAAAUCUGGAAGAAGCCUCAAAGUUUGAAUUCUCAAUCUUCCUCCAUUAAUGUAACUUGACCAAAGUUCAUAAGCUUUGAAUUAUAAACUGAACAGCAAGGCAAUGGCAACCUCCAACAAGCUCUAUAAAUACCGAUUGAUUCCCAAGUUUUGCCAACACAAAACAAAACCAAAAAUCAGAAAGUUUAGAUAAUAUUAGCCAAAAAUAUACCACAAAAAAAAAUACCACUGCUUCCUCCUCUGUUUUUGGGCGCGCUCCGACGCACCACCACCGAACCCCUGCGCCGCACCGCCACGACGACACCACCAAUCCUCACCUGCGCCGCACCACCAUUGAACCACUGCAACGACGCUACCCAGUCGCGCAGCCCAGCCACCCCUCUGUGUCACACUCGCACUCCCUUCCUUUCUCUCGCUACACCCACUCGCAGCACCUUUCACUCUCCUCGACCCACCUGAACGAACCACCUUCGUCACUCCGGCGAACCACCGAGGCUCAGGUGCUGCGCGGUAGCCGUUUCAGGCGACAAGCUCUCUAACGUUCCUCCCUCUGUUCCCUGUUCCCACUUUAUAGAUUAAGGAAAAAGGGAUAUUACAAGCCUCCCCCGACUAUCAAAGUUACUAAGCAGGAUUUGAGGUAAUGACGGGGAUGACGGAAUGGCGUAGCAGUGAGGAAUAAUUACUACUUAAAUUAUGCAGACUCUUAUUAAUAUGUAUUCUAAGCUUGAGAACAUUAGUUUAUGAACCUUAAUUAUGUUUCACC